GGCUUCUGAAGCAGUGCACGUCCAGAAAAUCCCAAAAUCCGUCUCCACUUUUAAUGUUGAAGUGGGCAAAGAUAUUCAAGCACCAGCGUCCGCUUCCCAAAUCAGUACCCAAUUGCUUAAAACGGAAAAUGACCACCCAGUUGGCAAAACAACCUACGUCGAACGUACGAUUAUCCCCAAUUACGUCGAGAAAACUAUUCAGGUUCCAUCUUAUGUGGAAAAAACCAUACGAGUACCAACGUUUGUUGAAAAAACCGUUAAAGUUCCCACAACGCCAACUGUAGUAGAGAAGGAAGUUGAGGUGCCUCAGCACGUAAAGACUGUGUCAAAAACG
rnacentral:lncRNA from 1 species